rnacentral:snoRNA from 1 species
AUCCUUUUGCAGUUUUUAAGUGUCAUGAUGGGGCGUCCAUGCACGUGUGUAAGAUGUGCCACUCUUGAAGCUUGUUACAACGUGGGCAGAUUACCAAUCUCACA